rnacentral:rRNA from 1 species
UGGGGAAUUUUGGACAAUGGGCGAAAGCCUGAUCCAGCAAUGCCGCGUGAGUGAAGAAGGCCUUCGGGUUGUAAAGCUCUUUCGGACAGAACGAAACCUUUGGCUCUAACAUAGUCAAAGACUGACGGUACUGUAAUAAGAAGCACCGGCUAACUACGUGCCAGCAGCCGCGGUAAUACGUAGGGUGCGAGCGUUAAUCGGAAUUACUGGGCGUAAAGCGUGCGCAGGCGGUGAUAUAAGUCAGAUGUGAAAGCCCCGAGCUCAACUUGGGAAUUGCGUUUGAAACUGUAUCACUAGAGUUCAGCAGAGGGGGGUGGAAUUCCACGUGUAGCAGUGAAAUGCGUAGAGAUGUGGAGGAACACCGAUGGCGAAGGCAGCCCCCUGGGCUAGAACUGACGCU